rnacentral:rRNA from 1 species
UACGUAGGGGGCAAGCGUUGUCCGGAUUUAUUGGGCGUAAAGAGCGUGUAGGCGGCCAUGCAGGUCCGUUGUGAAAACUCGAGGCUCAACCUCGAGACGCCGAUGGAAACCGCAUGGCUAGAGUCCGGAAGAGGAAAGUGGAAUUCCUGGUGUAGCGGUGAAAUGCGCAGAUAUCAGGAAGAACACCCGUGGCUAAGGCGGCUCUCUAGUACGGUACUGACGCUGAGACGCGAAAGCGUGGGGAGCGAACAGG